GGACUUGCUCGGCGCUCGGCUGCAUGCCCUUUGCACGUGCGCACUGAGUGUGCACUCAGAGCGAUCGAUCGGGCACGAUUCGCGCCUCCAUUUUUCUAGAAGAGAGCGGGAGACCGAGACCCUGAUCAGCGGAAUGUACAGAACCAAAGUGGGCCUGAAGGACCGCCAGCAGCUCUACAAGCUGAUCAUCAGCCAGCUGCUCUAUGACGGAUACAUUAGCAUCGCCAAUGGCCUCAUCAACGAGAUCAAGCCACAGUCGGUGUGUGCGCCCUCGGAGCAGCUCCUGCACCUCAUCAAGCUAGGGAUGGAGAACGAUGACACUGCAGUUCAGUAUGCCAUUGGUCGCUCUGACACGGUUGCCCCUGGCACAGGGAUUGACCUGGAGUUUGAUGCAGACGUCCAAACAAUGUCACCCGAGGCUUCGGAGUAUGAAACCUGUUAUGUCACCUCCCACAAAGGCCCAUGCCGAGUGGCCACCUACAGCAGAGAUGGGCAGUUGAUAGCCACAGGGUCUGCGGAUGCUUCCAUCAAGAUACUGGACACAGAGAGGAUGCUGGCCAAGAGCGCCAUGCCCAUCGAGGUCAUGAUGAAUGAGACUGCACAACAGAACAUGGAGAACCACCCAGUGAUCCGAACUCUUUACGACCAUGUGGAUGAAGUCACGUGUCUCGCUUUUCACCCAACAGAACAGAUCCUGGCCUCCGGCUCAAGGGAUUAUACUCUAAAAUUGUUUGAUUAUUCCAAACCCUCUGCAAAAAGAGCCUUUAAAUACAUUCAGGUUAGAUAUACCGGGGAGCACGUUUUAGAUACAGUAUUUUAUGGCUGUUUUCUUAGGUUCAGAUAUUUUUUCCAAGUGGUCUCAGUGAUUAGCCCUAUGUGACACUUAGAUGCCAUUGGUGUCAGGGUCACUGGCUGUCCUUUGCCUAUGCAAGACUGCAGAUGAGUUGGGUAUGGUGGAUCACACUGUGAUCCCAACACUCAGGACUGUCACAAGUUCAAGGCCAACCUGCUGCAUAAUCAGUUCCUUGCCAGCUUGAGCCAUAGAGAGAGACCCUGGCUCAAAGGGGGUUUGAGGAUGGGUCACUUUUACAACACUGGGAUCAAGCUCAGGACUGGGAAAAAAAAAACAACCAAAAUGGGGGUGAGAGGUAGUGGUGGAAAGGGAGACAAAAGAAAACCCUGCCUUCCCUAAAAGUGCCUUUUAGCCACCGACGUGCUCAGUAAAAGUAACCUAGGCCUGGUCCUGGAAGCUUCUAGCCUCCAUACAGCCUAAUCCAGGCCCAGAAUGCCUAGCCUCUGGUACGUACGGCCACAUAAGCUCUCCCUCUCUGGCUGGCUGGUUCAGCGCCUCUCCAUGCUGACUGACUCAACCUGGCUUCUCUUGAUUGCUCCUGAACUGCGCUGCUUGGCUUCUUACUAACUAACUUUGGCAAUCUGUUCUAAUUUUCUGGUUCCUUCUUGUUCUCUCUUCACCCUGUCUCUCUAAUAAGAUUCUCCCCGUAAAACUGCCUUCUCUCUGUGCACUGCCCCCAAGUAGCUUUCCUGUUCUCUUCCCAUGAACAUUGGGCAUCUCCUAUCUCUGAUACAUUCUGUCAGAUCCUUCUCUCAUUCAGCACUUUGCCUGCCCCUCAAUUAGACAGCACUUUCAAACAUGGCUGCUUCCUUCUACAAACUAACUUUACCUUCCUUGUGUGGGAUUAAAGGUGUGUGCUAAGGGUCUGUGUGUAUUCCAGCCAGAGGAACUGCAGGCGCUAAGGUGAGCUGCGCCACAGCUGGAAACAGGUUCUCCCAGUAAAGAGCACAGUCUCGGGGUUCACGGUGUGAUCAGCCUACAAAAGGACCAGGUGGGGUGUUGAUCAUCUGAGGAAAGCAGCACGUGUCCCCUGCCUGGUCUGUUGCAGAAAUACUCAUGGUUCAGAAGCAGCUUCUGACCCUCAUCCUCUGGGUUUUCCUUAGAAGUCCCUAGAGCAGAUUGCGGGAGCUUUUGUUCAUCUUCUGUGGCUGUGUGAGCGGAGCUGCCUUAGUCCAUUUGCAAGGCCAUCUGAUUUCACCCCGUGUUCAUUUGCAAGUGAAUUCCUGCCUGGUUUUAGGAAUGUGUGAUCAGUAACUAGUUCCAGAAAGAACCGGUUUGCUGCAUCCCAGGAAGUGCGAUUGUCGCUCUGCCCCUGCGCUCAGUCGUGCGUGUGCCUGACCCGUGCCUUGUCCGUGCUUCUGUCCGCAGGAAGCUGAGAUGCUGCGCUCCAUCUCGUUCCACCCUUCUGGAGACUUCAUCCUGGUCGGGACCCAGCAUCCCACGCUUCGCCUCUAUGACAUCAACACCUUCCAGUGUUUCGUCUCCUGCAAUCCCCAAGACCAGCACACCGACGCCAUCUGCUCUGUCAACUAUAACCCUAGUGCCAACAUGUACGUCACUGGCAGCAAGGACGGCUGCAUCAAGCUGUGGGACGGCGUCUCCAAUCGCUGCAUCACAACCUUUGAGAAAGCUCACGACGGGGCAGAAGUCUGUUCUGCCAUUUUCUCCAAGAAUUCCAAGUACAUCCUCUCAAGUGGAAAAGACUCUGUAGCUAAACUCUGGGAAAUAUCCACGGGACGGACACUGGUGAGGUACACAGGUGCGUGAGAAGGUGAUGGUGGGUUUCUCGGGAAUCACACUGUCGAGGGCGGAGAUGCACUGGAGGAAAGGGGUUUGGGAAUGGCUUUGGCCCACCCCGAGGCCAGUGUCCAUAUGUGAAGUAGACCCUCAGACGAGAAGACAAGCUCAGUUCCCCACUCGUUCCUGCUAGUUUAUAGGUUGUAGGGAUUGUGCCCGGGCUUUUUAUGGUGAUUGUUUGAGUUGGCCACGUGCAGCCCUGUGUUCAGGUCUGGGUACAGUGAGUGCUGACUCCUGCUGAGCUUAAUCUGUUCCAUAGCAGCUGAGAGUGGGGUUGGAUAGAAAACCUGGGGUAUCUCCCCUGCCUUCCUCCUGAAAGGUGUUUGUGGCUGACUCAGAGUGUACAGAAGACACCAGUGUCUAAGGAGCUGAGUUAGCGUCCUGGAGAGGGACAUGGACGAGCUGGUGACAUCCAGGCCACUAGGGUGCAGCACAGUUCCUCUGUGUGGCACAGGCUGCUUGCCACAGGGGCCACUUCUGUUAUUUUACAUGAUGUCAUUUUGGAAAACCUCUUAGAACCAAGUUCUGCUUGCCUGCAGAAGUGUUCAGAGCGAAUGCCAGCUUUUAGUUUACAAGUGACACCCUUGCUUCCCAGGGGACAGCACGCCCAGACAGACAUGCUCAAGAGUGAGGAUGCUAGCAGCAUAGGUUGCUUAUUUGAGGAGGGCGUUGUAAUUUUGCUUUUGUUUUCCAAAGGAACAUACAGACACAUCCCUUAUUUCCUAAUUCCUAAGUCAGCACCCUGACAGUCAGGGUGUGAGGGUUUCCCUUCUGGUUUUAAGACACACUUAGAAAGCAGAGUGUCCUUGCAAUGGCGACAGAGGAAGGAACCGAGGAAGACGUUGGAUGCGCCAAGGUCAGGGUGCACAGGGCAGUGGUCAGAGUCUGUAGAUGGGGGCCGUCAGUGAAAAAGAUGAGCCCAGUUUUACAGGGGGAAAAAGUCAAAAUUUGCGGUAUUUUGCAAGAGAAAUUAAAGGGGACAGUUAGUUAUCAAAUGACUGGCCUUAAACUCUGUAAACUCUGGAAAUAGAAUUGGCAGUGUGUUUCUUGGCUCAUCAAACUCUACAACUCGAGGGACUGUGUUUUAUUGGAGAAAAUUUGAAAAAGUCAGCCUUUUUACUGAUGUGUCGUUUGGUAAAUAUUUCGGAAAGGUAAUUGUCAUGUCAAAUGUUUAAAUAUAUGUGUUUUGUCACAGUCUUAGAAAGGUAAGUACCUGUACAUGCACACAGAAUGGUAUCUGUCGGCAUCACUGAGAGUCACUGAAACAGGAAUAUACAUGCAACUGCAGAAGCCAGAGUACUGCAGGGCAUGGAGCGCUCUGCCCUGCACCCGUGGCCACAUGCAGCCUUUGCAGAGAACCACUCAUUUGUCGUAUGUUUUAAUCCUCAGCACCCUAAAGGGUAGACACUAGAGAGCUGAGAGAGGACCAUCUACCCAAGGCCACAGCUCCUUAGGAGUGCACACCCCGCUAACCAUGAAGGAUGUGUCUUUGCUCUGUCGUCAUGUUCCUCUUACUCUACAGCACGCUUGCUCCCAGUGAAAAUAGUGUGUGAUUUCUGGUUUCUUCAAUUGGAAGUGUGUGUGUGUGUGCAGUGCGUGGGUAUUUGGGAGGCCAUCUACCAAAGUGCAGCCUCAGUAAGUCAGGGGAUGCCCUGGCUGUCCUAGUCUUUUCUUUUUUUUCUUUUAAGAUUGACUGACUGACUGACUGUUAUGUAAUGUACAUGAGUACACUGCAGCUGUCUUCAGACACACCAGAAGAGGGCAUUGGAUCCCACUGCAGAGUUGUGGUUGCUGGAAAUUGAACUCAAGACCUCUGGAAGAGCAGUCAGUGCUCUCAACCACUGAGCCAUCUCUCCAGCCCUGUCUUAAUCUUUUAUGCAUUGCUUUAAACAUGAAGUGUCUGUUCACAGUCAUGAAAUGAUAAGCCUUCCUUUUGAAAGGCGCAGGGCUGAGUGGACGGCAAGUGCACCGGACACAGGCUGUGUUCAACCACACUGAGGACUAUAUUUUGCUGCCGGACGAAAGGACCAUCAGCCUGUGCUGCUGGGACUCUAGGACAGCUGAGCGCAGGAACCUGCUGUCCCUGGGCCACAACAACAUUGUGCGCUGCAUAGUGCACUCCCCGACCAA